rnacentral:tRNA from 1 species
GCCCAGGUGGCGGAAUUGGUAUACGCGCUGGCCUUAGGAGCCAGUGCCCAAAAGGCUUAGAGGUUCGAGUCCUCUCCUGGGCACCA